rfam:Ixodes scapularis strain Wikel colony gcontig_1108379257324, whole genome shotgun sequence.
GCAGUCAUGGCCGAGUGGUUAAGGCAAUGGACUAGAAAUCCAUUGGGGUCUCCCCGCACAGGCCCGAAUCCUGUCGACUGCG